rnacentral:rRNA from 1 species
AUUGAACGCUGGCGGCAGGCCUAACACAUGCAAGUCGAGCGGAUGAAGGGAGCUUGCUCCUGGAUUCAGCGGCGGACGGGUGAGUAAUGCCUAGGAAUCUGCCUGGUAGUGGGGGAUAACGUCCGGAAACGGGCGCUAAUACCGCAUACGUCCUGAGGGAGAAAGUGGGGGAUCUUCGGACCUCACGCUAUCAGAUGAGCCUAGGUCGGAUUAGCUAGUUGGUGGGGUAAAGGCCUACCAAGGCGACGAUCCGUAACUGGUCUGGGAGGAUGAUCAGUCACACUGGAACGGAAACACGGUCCAGACUCCUAAGGGAGGCAGCAGUGGGGAAUAUUGGACAAUGGGCGAAAGCCUGAUCCAACCAUGCCGCGUGUGUGAAGCAGGUCUUCGGAUUGUAAAGCACUUUAAGUUGGGAGGAAGGGCAGUAAGUUAAUACCUUGCUGUUUUGACGUUACCAGCAGAAUAAGCACCGGCUAACUUCGUG